GGCGGUGUAGCUCAGUAGUAGAGCAGUCGGCUCAUACCCGAUAUGUCAGGGGUUCAAAUCCCUUCACCGCCA
rnacentral:tRNA from 1 species